UACGUAGGGUGCAAGCGUUGUCCGGAAUUAUUGGGCGUAAAGAGCUCGUAGGCGGUCUGUCGCGUCGGCUGUGAAAACUCUGGGCUCAACUCCGAGCUUGCAGUCGAUACGGGCAGGCUAGAGUUCGGCAGGGGAGAAUGGAAUUCCUGGUGUAGCGGUGAAAUGCGCAGAUAUCAGGAGGAACACCGGUGGCGAAGGCGGUUCUCUGGGCCGGUACUGACGCUGAGGAGCGAAAGCGUGGGGAGCGAACAGG
rnacentral:rRNA from 1 species